UUCUUGUCCUUCCUCUCAAAACACAGAUCCUGUAGCUUUUUCCAGACAGCCUUUACUAUUUCCUUACCCUCAGUAUUAAGAAUUUUUCAUGUAAGGUGUUCUCAGAAUCUUGCAAGUAUCCUUGUACCCAUUUCUUUUUGAAGAACAUGACCUUUAUUGAGCAGAAAUUGUUUCCUACUUGCAUUUUUUCAGACUUUAACCAUGAUUGUCUUUUUAGAAAUGUACAGAAAUGAAGAUGGUUCAGUACCUGCCACAUAUCAGAUCUAUUACAUGAUAGGAUGGAAAUAUCAUGAGUCACAGGCAAGACCAGCUGAAAGAGGCUCCGCAACUGUGUCAUUUGGAGAGCUAGGAAAAAUAAACAACCUUAUGCCACAGGGGAAUAAAUCACAAUAAAUAUUUAUUCAAUGUUAA
rnacentral:sRNA from 1 species